ACUCUGGAAGAGAAAAAUCCAGAAGCAGGUCAUGGAUAUUACUGGAAGCCUCAUGGGAAACUCCAGAAAACCACCCAGUUCAGCAACGGGCAGCACACACUGUUGAAAACAGCCAAGAGUCAAGGUUUACGUGAUCACCCUCUGACUUACCAGCUGAAACCUUCAGGGAACAAUUUAGAGAUAGAAUGGUGGCCCUAUGAUGUCCUGGACUGGAAGGGAAGCUUUCCAAUGCCUGCAGAGAGCCAGACUUCUAUCUCUCUGUUUCCUCUGAGGCUUCCAUGGCUACUGUGGCCUGUGUUCUUGCUGCUGUAUUCAUCUUCCUCACCGGAGAAGGAAGGAGGGAAAGACAGUGACAACAAAUGGAAUGGAGACUGAAGGAAAGGCCAUCCAGAGACCAUCCCACCUAUGGAUCCAUCCUAUCUGCAGACACCCCUGCCCCCAACUAUUGCUGAUGCCAAGAAGCGCUGGUUGUCAGGAGCCUGAUAUGACAGUUCCCUGACCAAUACAGGUCCUGCUCCUGCAUUUCUGAUCACUUAUUCCGGCACCAAUUCUACUCUGCUACACUCUAUAGUUUUCAGCUCAAUUCCGGUCUAGUGCUCCACCAUGAGCACUGCUGCUGGGAGCCACCCUGCCUUUACUGCCUUCCUGUGCCAAUUCACAGCCUUCUACGAGUCUAGGUUUCUGGUUUGCUUGAGUUUCUGCCACAACUUCCCUCUGCCAUGGACUGUUAUCUGGAAGUACAAGAAGAAAUAAUACCUUUCCUCUCAAGUUACCUUUCGUCAUGGUGUUUUUUCACAGCGAUGGAAACAAAGACACUGAAUAAAGCUUUUACCUACUGAGUCAUCUCAUUGAAUCAUCAAGCACUGUUUGGUUUUAGUGAGAAGCAAGUCUACCUAUUUAAACAUGGUAUUGAAGUAAUAAAACAAA
rnacentral:lncRNA from 1 species